GUGAAACUAACUACUGCGGGAGAGCACCGUGCUGGCAGCGCGGGGGUCAGGGGUUCAAAUCCCCUAUUCUCCACCA
rnacentral:tRNA from 1 species